UUGCCCCUGGGCGCCGGGGAGCCUAGAGGAAACCCCCGGCACCCGGCGCCUUUCUCGACUGUCACGAGGGAAUCGGUGUGCGCGGAGAGAGAGAGGUAGCUGAGAAAUGCCGCGGCAGAAAGAACCCUUUUAAAGGGAACACAGAGAGGGUCCUUUUUCUUCCAUAUCUCUGGAAUAGGGGCGCGACGAGGAGAUACACUGUUGCAUCAGGAUUCCAAUGCAUUCCACAACUUUUGGGAAAGGAGAAGUGGUCUUCCUGCACUGGUUCAGCUGUGGUGACCCAGACACUGAGUUGCUCUGAUAGGCGAGGAAGGACUGAAUUCCACUGGCAGGACAGCCAGGGAACAGCCUGAGAAGAGAACAGUGGUGAAAGAAAGGAAGAAGCAGGCUGUGGCCCAAUGAAAGAGCCCUCUACAGCUGGGCACAGUGGCCCCCGCCUGUAAUCUCAGCGGCUCAGGAGGCUGAGGCAGGAAGAUCGCCAGUUCAAAGCCAGCCUCAGCAACAGCGAGGCGCUAAGCAACUCAGUGAGAAC